CGGGGGGUGGCGCAGCCCGGUUUAGCGCGCUUGCUUGGGGUGCAAGAGGUCGUGAGUUCGAAUCUCAUCCCCCCGACCA
rnacentral:tRNA from 4 species